rnacentral:tRNA from 1 species
UAGAAAUUGGUGUAGUGGAAGCACUAAGAGUUUUGAUUUCUUCAGGCUGGGUUCGAAUCCCAUGUUUCUAA